GAAAAAUGAUGGUUGAUGUUCACAACAUGUUUCACCUUUAAUGUCCUUUAAAUCAAGAACUUGAAUUACUAGAAUCGUACACAAACCAUAUUCUGCACUAUUAAAUUAAUGAUACAAUUUGGCCAUCACUUUCAUGUCUGCAUUUGGAGGCAGUAGUGGAGCAACAUUUAGAGCAGCAAGCUUGUAACUAACUAAGAUAAUCUAGGGCAGAAAUGCAUAAGCACCUCAUUCUUUCUCUCUAAAUAAUUUGACAUGUAUAGUCCCUUAAGCCUUAUUUGGUUUACUAGAGGUGGUUUACAUGUCUUUAUGUUUGAUCGAAUCAACUUGUGUGUCUGUGUGGGCAUUUCAGCAAUUCUUUCUGCUGCACUGCAGUUUUUUGUAUUAGCAGACUGUGUUCAUAUUUAAUAUUCCACUUGAUAGCAUUGAUUCAUGUUUUAAAUUAAAAAACACAUUGUGUUGGUUACAGCCAAGGUUACAAUCAAAUUAAAUCAAAUCAACUGGUAUAACAUCAUAAUGUCUGAUGUAUUUUUAAAAAAUUAUAAUUACAAUUAAGAUAUGUGAAUUAUGUAUACCACUUCCUUAAACACCACUGACACAAAAUAAGCAACAGAGAGAAAAAAUGCCAUGACCAUAUACCGAGUGAGAAAAAAUGUGCUGACCAGUCACUCCCACCCUCUAUAAAAGAGGCAGCUCUGAACUUCAGCAUGAAAUGAAAGCUUCCCAACACAGCAUCUUGGGACUCCACCAGAAACUUCCCACUCAUACUUUUCUGGAACAAGCUGAGGCUCCACUGAAGUGCCACCAUGAGCACGGACGUGGAGAUGGAGCAGUAUGGCCCAGCGGCCAUUUACCUCCGAAAACCAGAGAAGGAGAGGAUUGAGGCACAAGCCAGUCCUUUUGAUGCCAAAACUGCCGUCUUUGUGGCUGAUGCGGAUGAGAUGUACCUCAAGGGUAAACUUGUGAAGAAAGAGGGUGGCAAAGCCACGGUUGACACAGACAGU